rnacentral:rRNA from 1 species
CAGUAGCCGCGGGAACACAGAGGUCUCAAGCGUUGUUCGGAUUCAUUGGGCGUAAAGGGUGCGUAGGCGGUCGGGUAAGUCGGAUGUGAAAUCCUGGGGCUCAACCUCAGAACUGCAUUCGAUACUGCUUGGCUAGAGGACUGGAGAGGAGGCUGGAAUUCACGGUGUAGCAGUGAAAUGCGUAGAUAUCGUGAGGAAGACCAGCGGCGAAGGCGGGUCUCUGGACAGUUCCUGACGCUGAUGCACGAAGGCCAGGGGAGCAAACGGGAUUAGAUACCCCAGUAGUCCCUGUCUCUUAUAC